rnacentral:rRNA from 1 species
GACGGAGGAUGCAAGCGUUAUCCGGAAUGAUUGGGCGUAAAGCGUCCGCAGGUGGCAGUUCAAGUCUGCUGUCAAAGACCGGGGCUUAACUUCGGAAAGGCAGUGGAAACUGAACAGCUAGAGUAUGGUAGGGGCAGAGGGAAUUCCUGGUGUAGCGGUGAAAUGCGUAGAUAUCGUAAGGAAGACCAGUGGCGAAGGCGAAUCUCUGGACAGUUACUGACACUGAGGCACGAAGGCCAGGGGAGCAAACGGG